UCCUCCUCUUACUUAUCCUCCUCUCCCAGCAUCCACCUGUCCUCCUCCUCCUCCCUCUCUCCUGGUCCCAGUUGUAGCAGGUGUGGUCUCCAUGGUUCUCCUGGUUCUGGUUCUGGGUGGAGUCCUGUUCCUCUGCAGUAAACUAAAAGGAACAACAAGUUCACAGCACUUCCUACUGUCUGACAAACACCAUCACGCUGUCAGCACGAACCAUCACAUGAGUUCGAUGUGCACCAUUACUCCUCCUGUGCUGAUGGUGCUCUGUGUGAUGCAGGAGGUCGGGGAGCAGAGCUGUGGAGCUGUGGAGGUGACGGCUGUCUGAGACGGAGCGUCUGCCUCUGCUUUUCAGGCCUGUUUCUGCUGACUGCUGCAGGUGUGUGUGUGCUGCU